ACUUGGUGAUGUGAGCAUUUAUAGAGAAAAUCCCUAAAGUGCUCCCAAGUCUCAAAAAAGAGUUCCCCGUCCAUUUGUGAGAAACUUUUGACAUAUCUAUGAAACU